rnacentral:rRNA from 1 species
GCCGCGGUAAUACAGAGGGUGCAAGCGUUAAUCGGAAUUACUGGGCGUAAAGCGCGCGUAGGUGGUUAGUUAAGUUGGAUGUGAAAUCCCCGGGCUCAACCUGGGAACUGCAUUCAAAACUGACGAGCUAGAGUAUGGUAGAGGGUGGUGGAAUUUCCUGUGUAGCGGUGAAAUGCGUAGAUAUAGGAAGGAACACCAGUGGCGAAGGCGACCACCUGGACUGAUACUGACACUGAGGUGCGAAAGCGUGGGGAGCAAACAGGAUUAGA